UCGGAGCAAUAAAAGAAUGAGAUGCACCAGGGUCCAUCAAGGCAUACACAUCUGAACAACCAAUGAUUAAGUUACCUACCACCACGGUGUUAGAUGCAUCUGCCUCCUGCUGUGUCAUUGUGAAGAUCCGUGCUGGAGCUUAUGGACCUUCACCUCUGAAGCCCGCUGAAGAAGAGGCUGCCCCUCUCCCUCUGCCUCUGCCACUGGCCUGAGUCAUGGCUGGAGCUGCUGGCUGCGCUACACUGCCUGAGGCUGUCUGCUGGGACUGAGCCAUCGGGACUGCUCUUGGACAUUCUCGAGCCAUAUGCCCCUCCUGACCACAUUUGAAACAGGCGUUUGUCCCAAGCCGACAUACUCCCUUGUGUGGCCUACCACACCUUGCACAAACUGUAUUAUCCGCACCAGAGCUUGAGCCACUCCCAAAUCCCAGACUGGACUUGACUUUACUCCAGAACUUAUUCUUCUUACCCUUGGGUUUACCCCAUCUCUUACUGCCUGAAGCUGCUGCACUCAAGGUAGAGGGAUCUAACCUUCCCCCACCCGGAGUUUU
rnacentral:lncRNA from 1 species